AACUAAUGGAUCCUUAUCAUUCCAAAACUUCCCCGAAACGAAACUAAUCAUUCCCUUAAGUUAUAAAAUCACAACAAACGGGAAGCUUCAAAAAGGGAAAACAAGGCUCAAAUACACAAAAUGACCUGUCGGGUCACUACAAACUGCUACUUACUUUUAUACAGUAAGCUCAGAUCUUGAAGCCUUAGGCUCUCACUUAAAAGAUGAUGAAAGUAUUGUUGAAGUUUCAGUAUCUCGAUGAGAAAGCCAAGCAAAAGGUCAUGACGAAGGUUUAUGUUCUAUGAGGUAUACAUUGUCAAAAUGUACAGUACAUUUUUCUGUUUCAUGUUUUCGAAAAAAUAUCGAACAUGUACUCUUUCUUGUUCCAUAUACUCAAUGAACCCAGAUCUUGAAAUAUGAAAAAUCUCAACUUAAUUUGUGUAA